UACGUAGGGUGCAAGCGUUAAUCGGAAUUACUGGGCGUAAAGCGUGCGCAGGCGGUUGUGCAAGACAGAUGUGAAAUCCCCGGGCUCAACCUGGGAACUGCAUUUGUGACUGCACGGCUGGAGUGCGGCAGAGGGGGAUGGAAUUCCGCGUGUAGCAGUGAAAUGCGUAGAUAUGCGGAGGAACACCGAUGGCGAAGGCAAUCCCCUGGGCCUGCACUGACGCUCAUGCACGAAAGUGUGGGGAGCAAACAGG
rnacentral:rRNA from 1 species